AAGGAGAGAGGAGUAGAAUUGAUAUCUUUCAUUUCUGGGUCAUCUCCUUAAAGACACUCACUCUGGACUCUCUCCUAUUCCCUUCUUCUACAGGCUGUAGCACAGACAUGACGGAAACCCAGCCUCAGUAAUGCUGAUGAACACAUCAGGGAAUGGUAAUGCAGCAGAAAGGAAGCUACUUGUGUCCUUCAAUGACCUUCACCACCUGGACUGGCGGGGCCUGUAAUGUGAGAAAUACAUUUCUAUCCAUCCUAUUAAAGAUUUCAAAGGAAUGGCCCAUUUCCAGGUAGUGAGAGAAAUGUGUUUGUGUGCUCAUACAUAUAUAGUAAAAGAAAGAGUCAUAUUCGAAAAUUCACUGAAUAAGAAUUCUGAGAGUGGAUGAGCAAGGAUGCAUAAGGGCUUUAGAGGCCACAGAUAACUGUUCUUAUAAGAAAGAGGCAGAGGAAGACCUGAUAUACAGAGAAGAGCAAGUUACAUGACCAUGAGACAACUUUCAGGGAUGUGGCCACAAGCCAAGGGAUGCUGGCAACCUUCAGAACUCAGGUGGAUCAAGCAAUGGAUUCCUCCCUUAGAGUCUCUGAAAAUGCUCCAAAGGAAUGAUUCAGAAAAAUCAUAAAAGGAUUAAUUCAUAAUGAUGAAAUGAUGAACUUCCUAAAAUUGCGUAGUCUAGUCUUACUUGCUUGCUGGGUACCCCACGCAGAGGCAUCACAGCCGGUGCUGCAGACCAGAGUUCCCAAUGCCAAAUGCUGUGCCGGUAUCUCAGCUUGACUGUCAACAGACCCUGUGCCGAGGCGAUGCGCACAGCACUGAAACUCAAGAUGGCGGCAGCAGGCCAAGCCCAGAGAUUCUGUUCCCGCCGCUGGGAGCUGGAGCAGACGCGCAUGCGUCUGCACCGCCAAUAGCCGCGCCCACAGCGGGGCUGGAGCGCUCCUCGAAAGCGCUGCCCUGGAGCAGGUACUGCCGCCUCUCCAUUGUCUUAUUAAAGAAUAAAGCUUUCCUUUGCAAAUGAA